ACGUACACUCCUGCGGGAGGCAGCAGUGGGGAAUAUUGGACAAUGGGCGCAAGCCUGAUCCAGCCAUGCCGCGUGAGUGAUGAAGGCCCUAGGGUUGUAAAGCUCUUUCACCGGUGAAGAUAAUGACGGUAACCGGAGAAGAAGCCCCGGCUAACUUCGUGCCAGCAGCCGCGGUAAUACGAAGGGGGCUAGCGUUGUUCGGAUUUACUGGGCGUAAAGCGCACGUAGGCGGACUAUUAAGUCAGGGGUGAAAUCCCGGGGCUCAACCCCGGAACUGCCUUUGAUACUGGUAGUCUUGAGUUCGAGAGAGGUGAGUGGAAUUCCGAGUGUAGAGGUGAAAUUCGUAGAUAUUCGGGGGAACACCAGUGGCGAAGGCGGCUCACUGGCUCGAUACUGACGCUGAGGUGCGAAAGCGUGGGGAGCAAACAGGAUUAGAUACCCCAGUAGUCCCAUGAU
rnacentral:rRNA from 1 species